rnacentral:rRNA from 1 species
AGUGAACGCUGGCGGCGUGCUUAACACAUGCAAGUCGAACGAGAACGGUCCUUCGGGAUGUCAGCUAAGUGGCGGACGGGUGAGUAAUGUAUAGUUAAUCUGCCCUUUAGAGGGGGAUAACAGUUGGAAACGACUGCUAAUACCCCAUACUCCUUCUAUAUUAAUUAUAGUUGGGAAAUGGUUUUUUCGCUAAAGGAUGAGACUAUAUGGUAUCAGGUAGUUGGUGGGGUAAGAGCCUACCAAGCCAAUGACGCCUAGCUGGUCUGAGAGGAUGAUCAGCCACACUGGAACUGAGACACGGUCCAGACUCCUACGGGAGGCAGCAGUGGGGAAUAUUGCACAAUGGAGGAAACUCUGAUGCAGCAACGCCGCGUGGAGGAUGACGCAUUUCGGUGUGUAAACUCCUUUUAUAUAGGAAGAUAAUGACGGUACUAUAUGAAUAAGCACCGGCUAACUCCGUG